rnacentral:rRNA from 1 species
GACGAACGCUGGCGGCGUGCUUAACACAUGCAAGUCGAACGGAAAGACCCUGCUUUUGUGGGGUGCUCGAGUGGCGAACGGGUGAGUAACACGUGAGUAACCUGCCCUUGACUUUGGGAUAACUUCAGGAAACUGGGGCUAAUACCGGAUAGGAGCUCCUGCUGCAUGGGGGGGGUUGGAAAGUUUCGGCGGUUGGGGAUGGACUCGCGGCUUAUCAGCUUGUUGGUGGGGUAGUGGCUUACCAAGGCUUUGACGGGUAGCCGGCCUGAGAGGGUGACCGGCCCCAUUGGGCCUGAGAUACGGCCCAGACUCCUACGGGCGGCAGCAGUGGGGAAUAUUGCACAAUGGGCGGAAGCCUGAUGCAGCAACGCCGCGUGCGGGAUGACGGCCUUCGGGUUGUAAACCGCUUUCGCCUGUGACGAAGCGUGAGUGACGGUAAUGGGUAAAGAAGCACCGGCUAACUACGU